ensembl:snRNA U6 U6 spliceosomal RNA
GUGCUUGCUUCAGUGCACAUAUACUAAAGUUGGAAAGAUACAGAAAAGAUUACCAUGACCCCGCACAUGGAGGACAUGCAAAUUCAUGAAGAAUUCCAUUUUUGA